GCGUAAAGAGCGUGUAGGCGGGUAGUUAAGUCAGAAGUGAAAUCCAAUAGCUCAACUAUUGAACUGCUUUUGAAACUGAUUACCUAGAAUAUGGGAGAGGUAGAUGGAAUUUCUGGUGUAGGGGUAAAAUCCGUAGAGAUCAGAAGGAAUACUGAUUGCGAAGGCGAUCUACUGGAACAUUAUUGACGCUGAGACGCGAAAGCGUGGGGAGCAAACAGGAUUAGAUACCCUGGUAGUCCACGCCCUAAACGAUGUACACUAGUUGUUGUGAGGCUCGACCUUGCAGUAAUGCAGUUAACACAUUAAGUGUACCGCCUGGGGAGUACGGUCGCAAGAUUAAAACUCAAAGGAAUAGACGGGGACCCGCACAAGCGGUGGAGCAUGUGGUUUAAUUCGACGAUACACGAAGAACCUUACCUGGACUUGACAUAGUAAGAACUUUCUAGAGAUAGAUUGGUGUCUGCUUGCAGAAACUUAUAUACAGGUGCUGCACGGCUGUCGUCAGCUCGUGUCGUGAGAUGUUGGGUUAAGUCCCGCAACGAGCGCAACCCUCGUCAUUAGUUGCUAACAGUUCGGCUGAGAACUCUAAUGAGACUGCCUACGCAAGUAGGAGGAAGGUGUGGACGACGUCAAGUCAUCAUGGCCCUUACGUCCAGGGCUACACACGUGCUACAAUGGGGUAUACAAAGAGCCGCAAUACGGUGACGUGGAGCAAAUCUCAAAAAUAUCUCCCAGUUCGGAUUGUAGUCUGCAACUCGACUACAUGAAGUUGGAAUCGC
rnacentral:rRNA from 1 species